rnacentral:rRNA from 1 species
GCUCAGAUUGAACGCUGGCGGCAGGCCUAACACAUGCAAGUCGAGCGGUAGCACAGAGAGCUUGCUCUCGGGUGACGAGCGGCGGACGGGUGAGUAAUGUCUGGGAAACUGCCUGAUGGAGGGGGAUAACUACUGGAAACGGUAGCUAAUACCGCAUAACGUCGCAAGACCAAAGAGGGGGACCUUCGGGCCUCUUGCCAUCAGAUGUGCCCAGAUGGGAUUAGCUAGUAGGUGGGGUAACGGCUCACCUAGGCGACGAUCCCUAGCUGGUCUGAGAGGAUGACCAGCCACACUGGAACUGAGACACGGUCCAGACUCCUACGGGAGGCAGCAGUGGGGAAUAUUGCACAAUGGGCGCAAGCCUGAUGCAGCCAUGCCGCGUGUAUGAAGAAGGCCUUCGGGUUGUAAAGUACUUUCAGCGGGGAGGAAGGCGAUAAGGUUAAUAACCUUGUCGAUUGACGUUACCCGCAGAAGAAGCACCGGCUAACUCCGUGCCAGCAGCCGCGGUAAUACGGAGGGUGCAAGCGUUAAUCGGAAUUACUGGGCGUAAAGCGCACGCAGGCGGUCUGUCAAGUCGGAUGUGAAAUCCCCGGGCUCAACCUGGGAACUGCAUUCGAAACUGGCAGGCUAGAGUCUUGUAGAGGGGGGUAGAAUUCCAGGUGUAGCGGUGAAAUGCGUAGAGAUCUGGAGGAAUACCGGUGGCGAAGGCGGCCCCCUGGACAAAGACUGACGCUCAGGUGCGAAAGCGUGGGGAGCAAACAGGAUUAGAUACCCUGGUAGUCCACGCCGUAAACGAUGUCGACUUGGAGGUUGUGCCCUUGAGGCGUGGCUUCCGGAGCUAACGCGUUAAGUCGACCGCCUGGGGAGUACGGCCGCAAGGUUAAAACUCAAAUGAAUUGACGGGGGCCCGCACAAGCGGUGGAGCAUGUGGUUUAAUUCGAUGCAACGCGAAGAACCUUACCUACUCUUGACAUCCAGAGAACUUUCCAGAGAUGCUUUGGUGCCUUCGGGAACUCUGAGACAGGUGCUGCAUGGCUGUCGUCAGCUCGUGUUGUGAAAUGUUGGGUUAAGUCCCGCAACGAGCGCAACCCUUAUCCUUUGUUGCCAGCGGUCCGGCCGGGAACUCAAAGGAGACUGCCAGUGAUAAACUGGAGGAAGGUGGGGAUGACGUCAAGUCAUCAUGGCCCUUACGAGUAGGGCUACACACGUGCUACAAUGGCGCAUACAAAGAGAAGCGACCUCGCGAGAGCAAGCGGACCUCAUAAAGUGCGUCGUAGUCCGGAUUGGAGUCUGCAACUCGACUCCAUGAAGUCGGAAUCGCUAGUAAUCGUAGAUCAGAAUGCUACGGUGAAUACGUUCCCGGGCCUUGUACACACCGCCCGUCACACCAUGGGAGUGGGUUGCAAAAGAAGUAGGUAGCUUAACCUUCGGGAGGGCGCUUACCACUUUGUGAUUCAUGACUGGGGUGA